rnacentral:rRNA from 1 species
CCGUGAACCUUCACUGCAGCUUGGCAUUGGCCGCUGGCCCGUCGCGUAGAGGAUAGGCGGGAGGCUUCGAAGCCCGGGCGCCAGCCCGGGUGGAGCCGACCUUGGAAUACCGCCCUCGGCGCGCCGGCGUCCUAACCCCGGGCCGUCAUCCGGCCGGGGGACCGUGCCAGGUGGGUAGUUUGACUGGGGCGGUCGCCGUCCUAAAGGGUAACGGAGGCGCGCGAAGGUCCGCUCGGGACGGUCGGCAACCGUCCUUUUGAGUGCAAGAGCGUAAGCGGGCUUGACUGCGAGGCAGACACGCCGAGCAGGUGCGAAAGCAGGCUCUAGUGAUCCGGCGGCCCCGCGUGGGUGGGCCGUCGCUCAACGGAUAAAAGGUACUCCGGGGAUAACAGGCUGAUCUUGCCCAAGAGUCCACAUCGACGGCAAGGUUUGGCACCUCGAUGUCGGCUCAUCGCAUCCUGGGGCUGGAGCAGGUCCCAAGGGUACGGCUGUUCGCCGUUUAAAGCGGUACGCGAGCUGGGUUCAGAACGUCGUGAGACAGUUCGGUCCCUAUCCUCCGCGGGCGCAGGAGAAUCGAGGGAGGCUGCCCCUAGUACGAGAGGACCGGGGUGGACGCACCUCUGGUGAACCGGUUGUCGACCAACGGCACGGCCGGGUAGCCACGUGCGGCGCGGAUAACCGCUGAAGGCAUCUAAGCGGGAAGCCGUUCCCGAGAUCAGUUCUCCUUUCGGUAAGGGCCCAGGUAGACUACCUGGUCGAUAGGCGGCAGGUGCAAGCGCGGCGACGCGCUCAGCCGAGCCGUACUAAUAGCCCGAGCUCUUACCCGC